rnacentral:misc_RNA from 1 species
AAGUCGUAACAAGGUUUCCGUAGGUGAACCUGCGGAAGGAUCAUUAGAAAGUCCGUCCGGCUGGAAACGCCGGCCUAACCUUCAAACCACUGUGAAACACCCAAACCGUUGCUUCGCGGCCUGCGCCGGCGCCCUCGCGGCCCGGGGCUGUCAGUCCGCAGAAGCCCCAAACCAAAACCAUUUUCUGUAACAGUCUGUCUGAUACAAAUGAAUUAAAAUUCGUUAAAAA